rnacentral:rRNA from 1 species
UACGAAGGGUGCUAGCGUUGUUCGGAAUCACUGGGCGUAAAGCGUACGUAGGUGGUUAGGUAAGUCGAUUGUGAAAGCCCCGGGCUCAACUCGGGAAUUGCAAUCGAAACUGCCUAGCUAGAGUAUGGUCGGGGAUAGUGGAAUUUCUAGUGUAGGGGUGAAAUCCGUAGAUAUUAGAAGGAAUACUGGUGGCGAAAGCGACUGUCUAGGCCAUCACUGACACUGAGGUACGAAAGCGUGGGGAGCAAACAGGAUUAGAAACCCCAGUAGU